UCUGGGUCCAGUCUUGGCUCCUCCGAGAGGCCCCAGGUGCCUCUGCCGCGGCUUCUGUCGUGCAGUCUCCUGUUCUGUGACCUCUACUUGUGACAGGAGCCGUAGGGAGGACGCCGGGAGACCCGAAAGUCGAGAAAUGGACUCAGUGGUCUUUGAGGAUGUGGCUGUGAACUUCACUCUGGGGAAGUGGGUUUUGCUGGAUCCUUCCCAGAAGAAUCUCUACAGAGAUGUGAUGCAGGAAACCUUGAGAAACCUGGCCUCUGCAGAAGUCUUAUGGGAAAGAGACUGUUUGAAAGUAAAGAAGGUAGUUUGUGUGGAGAACCUUUGAGUCAGAGUUCAGAUCACAUGCUGAAUAGGAAGAGUCCUCCUGGAGUAAAACCAUGUGAAAGCAGUGUGUGUGUAGAAGUUUCUAUUGGUCAUUCAAUCCUUCACCGGCACAUCGGAGCUAGAAUGGGACACAAACCGUUUCACUAUGAGGAAUUUGGAAAUAAGCUAUGUACAUAUCAGCAAUGUGAGAAAACCCUCGGUUAUCAUGACCCCUUUCGAACAAAUGACUUCUUUCCACCCACUGGAAAGAAACCCUAUGAUUGUACAAAAUGUGGAAAAACCUUCAUUUCUCUCACAUGCUUUAGAAGACACAUGGUAAUGCACAAUGGAGAUGGACCUUAUAAAUGUAGGUUUUGUGGAAAAGCCUUUUCAUUUCUCAGUUUAUAUCAUAAACAUGAAAGAAUUCACACUGGAGAGAAGCCAUAUAAAUGUAAACAAUGUGGGAAAGCUUUCCAUUGCUCCAGUUCCCUUCAACCACAUGAAUGAACUCACAAUGGAGAAAAGCCAUAUGAAUGUAAGAAAUGUCAGAAAGCAUUCAAUUUUUUCACUUCUUUUCGUAGACAUGAAAGGACUCACACAGGAGAGAAGCCAUAUGAAUGUAAGGAAUGUGGGAAAACAUUCCGUUCUCCCAGUUCUGCUCAUAGACAUGAAAGGACACACACUGGAGAAAAACCCUAUGAAUGCAAGCAAUGUGGGAAAGCUUUUUCUCAGUGGAGGAGCAUUCAGUGUCACAUGAGAAUACACAGUGCAGACAGACCUCACAAACGUAGAGUAUGUAGGAAAGCCUUUUAUUCUCCCAGUUCAUUUCAAAGACAUGAAAGAAGUCACACUGAAGAGAAGCCCUAUGAAUGUAAGCAAUGUGGUAAAGCCUUCCAUUGUCUCAAUUCAUUGCAAUAUCAUAAAAGGACUCACACUAGAGAGAAAAACUAUGAAUGUAACCAUUGUGGUAAAGCCUUCACAUGUUCCACAUACCUUCAUAUAUAUGAAAGAGUUCAUGCUGGAGAGAAACCCUAUGAAUGUAAAGAAUGUGGGAAAGCCUUCAUUUAUUCCAGUGCCUAUCGAAGACAUUAAAGAAGCCAUACUAUAAAUAUAUGAGAGAAAUCUGAGUUAUGUAAGGAAUUGGGAAAGCAUUUGAUUGUCAUAGUUCCUUUCAAGCACAGGAAAGGGGAGUGGAGAAAGACCCUAUGAGGUAAUUGCCUUUGGAGUUGAGGGGAGAGACCUGUGAUAGCACAAUAAAAUGUAGAGUUUGAGUUGCAUGAUUCCAUGAUACAUUUGUCCAAUAGUUUAUAUUCUAGAGAUUUUGAAGGCAAAUGUGAGGAAGGCAUUAGUCAUGUUUUGGAGGCACCAUACAGGGAGACAUACAGAUUCAAAUCGGCUAUGGGGACACCUGCUUCCAGCCCAUUUUCCUGAUUCCUUAGCUUGCCCUUCAACAAUAUCCUCACAAUCACUUGAUUGUUAUUUUUCUCAGAGGUGUAGAUUUCCAAAGAUGUCUCCAGAAGCUCCACAUUAAAGAUUCAUUAGCUGUUUGACUUUCUUUCAGGCAUUGUAAUGUCUUCAGCAGAGAAUUCCAACUAUCAUAGAUGGGGUAUUCUCUGAUGCUCAGUUCUCCUAAUCUAUCGAUGUAGUGGUAUAUGGUCUAAUUUGUAUUGCAAGCGCCUUUUUUCUACUGGUUAUGACUCUGUUCCUGAUUCAGCAUGACAGCUACCAUGCUGCCCUCAAAAUCAACUGGAUGGGAACUUGUUCCUCUGCUGCAUUGAGCAGUGACUAGUCUCACCCAGAACUUUCAUGUGAGAAUGAGCACCUUUCUCUUUUCAGGAAAUUUUUAGUGUUUCCUGUUAUUCACAGCUGAAUCUACUGACUCCAUUCAUAUUCAAUUAUGUUUCAUUAUAUGUGAUUAAAAACAGUACAUACUUUUUUUGGCCACCAAGAUUU